CGUUGUUCUAAAUGUUUUGAGCAAAUUUUAGAAGAUAGGGAAUGUUUCGUCUUCGGAUGAACUGUAUGAGGUCAGCAUCAGUUGAAAUUAUAUUCUAUUGAGCGUGGCUUAUAAUUUCAAUGUGGGAAAAUGAGCGAAAAUUGAAAGAAACGACGCUAAACUACUUUGCAUAAGACAUCCUGGUCGAUUUAAGAAUUUACACAUUUGAUGAGUUUGGGCUGUCAGGGCAAAGGAACUGAGGAUUUUAGAAGGAAGUGACUUUUUCAAACCUGGAAGCUACCAUUGUGAAAGCCAUACUAGUGCCUGUAUCUAUCUUUUACUGGCUGACAUCUGAGAAGAAUUCAAGUCCACACUGGCAAUUUGACACAUUGCAGGCAAACACUACAACUGAUGAAUCUUGUAACUCCCAUGAGUGACUAGGACAGAAUUUCUCCUUACAAUAUCAAUACAAUAUCAACCAGAUAAGUG